rnacentral:rRNA from 2 species
UACGUAGGUGGCGAGCGUUAUCCGGAAUUACUGGGCGUAAAGCGUACGCAGGCGGCUUGUUUAGUCUGACGUGAAAUCUCCCGGCUUAACUGGGAGAGGUCGUUGGAAACUGACAAGCUUGAGGCAAUGAGAGGGGCAUGGAAUUCCCGGUGUAGUGGUGGAAUGCGUAGAUAUCGGGAGGAACACCAGAGGCGAAAGCGAUGCCCUGGCAUUGACCUGACGCUCAUGUACGAAAGCGUGGGGAGCAAACGGG